CUGGUAUCCUUUCCAGAGAUGAUGCUGCCUGCCUCUCUAUCCCGCCUCUACAUCAGAAACUUCCAGAAUUUGAAAUACUUAUCUUCCAAAGGCUUUCGAUACCUCUCCUCUCUUAAAACUCUGAGAAUUGGUUGGUGCGAAAAUCUGAUGUCCUUUCCAGAUGACGGUCUGUCUCCCUCACUCUUGGAUCUUCGCAUCGUUUGCUGUGAAAAGCUCACAUCCUUUACAGAGGAUGGUCUGCCUCCCUCACUCCAGCAACUUCGUAUUGCAAACUGUCUUCUGCUAAAAGAACGCUGCAAGAAAGAUCAAGGACGAGCAUGGAUCAAGAUAGCCCACAUCCCUUGCGUUAAAAUUGAUGAAAGGUUCAUCUAUGACCCAGAACCAGCAGAGGAGAAUCAGCCCAUGGGUGAAAAACAACUAUUGCAUGUGUUUUAUUCGUGGUAAGACGACUCUUUUGGUUGCAUUCUCUUCUUUGAUUUCCAAUGCAUUCUGGCUCUCCAUCCCCGAAUGGGAGGCUCCUUUGACUGUCUUUUGAAUGUUGCCGAUGGAAAACCCUCUUGCUGCUGUUGUGUUGGUCUGGUGAACGUUCGACUAUUCUUGUUGAACUUAACGGCAUCACAAGUGUUUGUUAAAAUACCCAAACGACCAAGCAAAUGGAGAAGGCUUUCGACCAUUGAGUUUUUCAUCACUAAUUACCGUGUUGCUGAUCAUUACAGAUUUGCGAAUCAUUACAAAAAGAUUGUAAGAGGUGUGGACUUGAAGCUAAUAUAUCUCAUCGAGGGUGGCCCAAAGUUCUUCUGAAGCUGCGGAGAGCAUCAAGGCAACUUAAGCAUUUUUAUAAAAAGUUUCAAAUCAAGCAAUUCCGAAUGAAGAAUG